CUCCGUAGGUGAACCUGCGGAGGGAUCAUUACACAAAUAUGAAGGCGGGCUGGAACCUCUCGGGGUUACAGCCUUGCUGAAUUAUUCACCCUUGUCUUUUGCGUACUUCUUGUUUCCUUGGUGGGUUCGCCCACCACUAGGACAAACAUAAACCUUUUGUAAUUGCAAUCAGCGUCAGUAGCAAAUUAAUAAUUACAACUUUCAACAACGGAUCUCUUGGUUCUGGCAUCGAUGAAGAACGCAGCGAAAUGCGAUAAGUAGUGUGAAUUGCAGAAUUCAGUGAAUCAUCGAAUCUUUGAACGCACAUUGCGCCCUUUGGUAUUCCAAAGGGCAUGCCUGUUCGAGCGUCAUUUGUACCCUCAAGCUUUGCUUGGUGUUGGGCGUCUUGUCUCUAGCUUUGCUGGAGACUCGCCUUAAAGUAAUUGGCAGCCGGCCUACUGGUUUCGGAGCGCAGCACAAGUCGCACUCUCUAUCAGCAAAGGUCUAGCAUCCAUUAAGCCUUUUUUUCAACUUUUGACCUCGGAUCAGGUAGGGAUACCCGCUGAACUUAAGCA
rnacentral:rRNA from 1 species